UCAAGACCCUCUUAAAGGUGACACAUUUAGAUUGAAUUCAUUUUACUCAAAUUUAGUAGUUAAUCAGAAAAUUAUGUAUAUCUCAUUCAUGUUAACUAAAGUUAUUUAAUAGCAAAGAGCCUCUGAUCCAUUAACUCAAAAUUAUUAAGUUUUAUUUUGUCCGCCUCCCUGUGCGCAUGUGCAUGUGGUUCAACGGUCUCUCCCUUCCUCCAAGUCUCCUUCCCGCACUAUCAGAAGCUGCACGUCGGACUUCGGGUUUGAAAAUAGAACUAAUUCCUGAGUGAUCAUCACUGUUACCAGGAGUUAUCUGUAGCAACCUCCUUGUAAUAGUUGAUGUCUGGACAUGCAAAGCAUCCAGUUUGGAGUCAUCUAGCAUUUG